AACGAACGCUGGCGGCAUGCCUAACACAUGCAAGUCGAACGAGACCUUCGGGUCUAGUGGCGCACGGGUGCGUAACGCGUGGGAACCUGCCCUUAGGUUCGGAAUAACUCCCCGAAAGGGGUGCUAAUACCGGAUAAUGUCUUCGGACCAAAGAUUUAUCGCCUUUGGAUGGUCCCGCGUUGGAUUAGCUAUUUGGUAGGGUAAAAGCCUACCCAGGCGACGAUCCAUAGCUGGGCUGAGAGGAUGCUCAGCCACACUGGGACUGAGACGCGGCCCAGACUCCUACGGGAGGCAGCAGUGGGGAAUAUUGGACAAUGGGCGAAAGCCUGAUCCAGCAAUGCCGCGUGAGUGAUGAAGGCCUUAGGGUUGUAGAGCUCUUUUACCCGGGAUGAUAAUGACAGUACCGGGAGAAUAAGCGCCGGCUAACUCCGUG
rnacentral:rRNA from 1 species